ensembl:lncRNA
UGUUGGGUUAAAACAAUAUGAAAAGAGGAAGAUGAACACAACUAUGCUAUAUAGUAUAUCUAGGUGACUGUUCUGGUCCUGCAGUUUUAAUUUUCAUCUAACCAUAAUCCAUGAUUAUCCAGCCUUAAUGCAGGCCGUCUAUCAUUCACAGAGCGUCUCAGCUGUGAAGAUUCUCUCUUAACCUUCAGUCACUGCCUUUCUUUCUCUAAACUAUGAACUUUGACUUUCGACUCAGCUGGUCUUUUUUAUUUCUACUUGUUUUUUGUUUUUUUUGUUAAAUCUCCUUCCACUAUGGGCCCCAAGUUGAAGUAUCCUGAUCCGCACGGACGCUGAUUCUGUUACAGCGAUUAUUUAAAGUGUUCCGUACUGAUGUGAAGUGUUGGAGUCAAAUGUUACAAGUGAAUUGGGGUCUUCAGCUGUGUGUGUGUGUGUGUGUGUGUGUGUGUGUGUGUGUGUGUGUGUGUGUGUGUGUGUGUGUGUAUGAAGCCCUGGGGUCAAAAAGCCCCAGUUUUUGUGCCUUCAAGUUUUUUCAGAACAGCUGGUCUCACAUGCAUAUAGGGAAUUUAUUUUAAUCUCAGGGGUAUACUUGGUGUUUUCCUGUUCUCAAAAACGUCAUUAUCCUCUCUGGUAAUUAUCACUUCCAAAAAAAAAAAAAAAAAAAGUGAAAGUGAAAGUCAAAAAAGCAAUGUACACAAAUUUUAUUUUGAAUUAUAUACAGCAUCCUGUAUUAUAUUCUGUUGUUAUUUAUGCCUUUGUAGAACUUCAGCAGUAUUGAAAUUUGAAUGUUGGUACGAAAAAAUGAACAGACAUACUAUUUUAAGCAGAUAAGCUAAAGAAAUCAAACCGCAUAACAAAAGACUGAACAGUUUUUUGUUUUUGUUUUCCAUUCAGUUCAGUGAGGAAUUAUGUUACUCAUCAUUGUGUUUUGGGAGAUAAAAUCUGUUAUUUUUCCAGAUGCCUGUAGCAGAACCUUAUUCAUAUUCUGUGAACUGUUAAAGGGCCAAGACUGAAACAGACAAGUGACCGAUCAGCACGGCUGCCACUAACAGUUUUUAACUAUUUGCCAAUCAAAACACAGAGGUUUUACAUGUAAAUAAAAAAAAAAAAAAAAAACAUAUGAACUUGAAUGUUAUUAGAUAAAAAUCAUAUAGUCUUUGAGAGAACUUUGGAAUGCUUUCUCCUUGAAUAUCAAUGCUUGUAUGAUGACAGAUGGUAGUGAAUGUGUGAACGUCCCACUCAUCUAAUGUUUGCUUGUUGACCGACUUCUCCAAAUGCAGGUGUGUAGAAUGUGCUUGACUUUUAUACAGCUGAUUACUGCUUGAAUGAGACUAAGUGGAAGAGACACACUUGGCUCUGAUUUAUUAAAGCAGUCGGGAAUGCGAUGUGAGUGUUGUUACUUUUGUUUUUCUUCAUUUGAUGCCCAAAGUGCUUGUGAUUGAGUAAUGACCUUUUUACCCGACAUCUGUCGUAGUAAACAUGAAUAUUAUUCUGAAACUGAGCAUGUGUUUGUGUGACAAAAUGAGUUGAUGAGAACUGAAACGUGAAACAAUGACUAUUGAAAUAUAUAACCAUUGUGUUUUCAAAAAAGGAGUGAUUUAUUUCAGAAUUGGCUGUAAUUUUGUGUGUGUUUUUGAGUCAAACAGCACAUUGCUUUGACUUGUCUCACUUUGGACCUGAUUGCUGAUUUGAAAGCUUCACACACAAAGUAGUAAAUGAUUGGCAAAACAGUCAAAUUGAC